CCCUCUGCCUGUGUCCCUGCCUCUCUCUGUGUGUCUCAUGAAUAAAUAAAUAAAAUCUAAAAAAAAAAAAAAAACCCAAACCAAAAUGAGUUAAUUGUUUACACGUGCAACAACGUGAAGGAAUCUCAAGGACGUUUGGUUGUGUGAUUCCAUUUUUACGAGGUUCAAGAACAAGCAAAACUAAUCUACGGGGACAUCAGAACAGUGGUUGCCUAAGGAGGGGGGAGAUUGACUGGAAGGAGCCGCAGGAAUCCUUCCAGGGGAGAUGGAAGUAGCUCUUGUUCCGGGCGGGGGUUACGUGGGUAUACGGUCAUCACAAUUCAUCCAGUUGUACGCAAGACACGAGCCCAAGUGUUAACCAUGUUGGAAUCGGGUGUUCCUACUCAUCUGUCUGGCUGCUACUGCAUAAAGAGAGGAUGUCAGAGCAUCUGGAGUUCUGACAGACAUCGGGGAGCAUCUGACAGACACCAGGAGAAUAAGUUUUUAUUCAAGAGUAUUUUGCUGCCCCCAUGGGUCCGAUCUGUUUUCCCUUCCGAUGUAGUUAAUAUUCUUACAAACUGUAACCCUGUGCUGUGGAAUACGAAUUGCUGAUAUUUUUGAACUGCACUCAGGAUGAUCGAAAAGAUAUGAAUACGAAUCGAAAUAGUGAAUCAGUCACAAUAUAGAUGAAGUUCCUUAGCAGUGAAAAACCGCAACGCAGAGAGAUCAAAUGUCAACAAGAUGCGUGGUGGACUUGGAACCCUUCGGGAUACCACAGAACUUUCUGGUUCCAGGCGUGGCCACAGCCAAAGCUAAUAGGCUGAUGGGGUGGUGCUAGUGGGGAUAGGCGCCUUGGCUGAAUGACACUCCUUGGUUCCUUUGGAACUAUGGGGUGGCUUUAGGCAAACUACACAAAGCUUUGUCUUCAAUCCAAUUACUCUUAGUUGAAAAAAAGACAAAGACAGAAAUAAAAAUGUGACCUAGAAAUGGGGUGUGGUUUCAAUGGAUGUCUAAAAAGCUACCUAUUGGGGCAGCCCGGGUGACUCAGUGGUUUGGCGCCUGCCUUCCGCCCGGGGUGUGAUUCUGGAGUCCUAGGAUUGAGUCCCGCAUCAGGCUCUAGCAUGGAGCCUGCUUCUCCCUCCACCUGUGUCUCUGCCUCUCUCUCUGUCUCUCAUGAAUAAAUAAAUAAAAUCUUUGAAAAAAAUAAAAAGCUACCUAUUUCUAAACGUUUUAGCUCCUAUCAAAUAUAUUAAAUUAGUAGACCCUAUUUCUCAAAAUUUGACAGUUGUCACACCUAUUUCCCUUCCCAUCUGAGUGAAGUGUUAGAUUCUGUUUUUCCGAAGGGGUGGGGAAGUUGCUAAUGAGGCAGCAUAUCCCACACUUUGGCUAAUUAUAAAAGCCUUCCAAUGGGGACGCCUGGGUGGCUCAGUGGUUGACCCCCUGCCUUUGGCUCCUGGUGUGAUCCUGUGGUCGGGGAUCAAGUUUUGCAUCAGGCUCCUUGCGGGGAGGCUGCUUUUCUCUCUGCGUCUCUCUCUGUAUCUCUCAUGAAUAAAUAAAUAAAGAAAAUCUUAAAAAAAA